ACACACAGCACAACUAGUUGACAGAUAUGUCUGCUUCUUCUUCUUGUGUCCGGCCAAUACAGCAUGAAGUUUUCCUUAGUUUUAGAGGUGCAGAUACUCGUAACAACUUUACCAGCCAUCUCUACGCUGCAUUGCUUCGACAAGGAAUUGCGACCUUUAUGGAUAAUAGGCUUCAGAGAGGAGAAGAGAUUGAGGAAGAAAUCUUGAAAGCAAUUGAAGCCUCAAUUUUUUCCGUGCUUAUCCUGUCAAAAAAUUAUGCAUCUUCACCGUGGUGCUUGGAUGAACUGGUGAAGAUACUUCAAUGCAAGGAUACGCAGGGACAAAAGGUAUUUCCUGUUUUCUACCACGUAGAUCCUGCAGAUGUGGACAACCAGACAGGAAGUUUUGGAGAGGCAUUAGCUAAGAUCAAGGAAGAUAUGAAGGAGAAUGAUUUAGAAAGGGUGCGAAAUUGGAGAAUUGGGUUGAGCAGAGUAGCUAAUAUCUCAGGGGAGGUUUUGACAAAGACAAGGUAACCUUCAAUACUCUUCCUUUAUACUUGUCAAGUCUUGUACAAUUAUUUGUUUUUAUCUGACUUUACUUUGAUGAUUAACUAAUCAAUAAAUUGCUUUUAAGCUAACUCCUUGAUUAUGAAUUGGGAUUGAUAAAAUAAGGAUUAUUAUUUAUUAAAAAUAAAGCAAUAAUAAAAUUUCUAAUCUGUGAUAAUAUUUA
rnacentral:misc_RNA from 1 species